rnacentral:rRNA from 2 species
UGCGAGACCGAUAGCGAACAAGUACCGUGAGGGAAAGAUGAAAAGAACUUUGAAAAGAGAGUUAAAGAGUACCUGAAACUGCUGAAAGGGAACCGAAUCGUAUCCAGUGUCUAUAAUCCAUGGCAUAUUUCAUUGGCGAGUGAGUGCGUGCAGCGUUUUGGAAGUGGUUUUCCGCUCCUGUCGUUGUUGUGCAUUUGCUUGCUGGUGCCCUGUGCUGUGGUGGGACGUCAGAGUCAGUUUGUGUGUCGCGGGAAAUGGUUAUUGGGGAGGUAGGUCGCUUCGGUGGCUAUUAUAUCCUGGUAACUAGUCGUCGUGGCUGAGACUGAGGUGCCUACAAUGUGCUUUCGAGUGUGCGGGUUUCUCGUGUGGCUGUUUGCUUUGAUAGCUUGCUAUGUUGGUGAAUAAGUUGUGCGAUUGAGACCUGUAUUAACUUGUUGCUGUUCGGGACUUUGAA